UGUGACUUGCUUCUGCUUGCCUUCCGCCACGAUUGUGAGGCUUCCUCAGUCAUGUGGAACUCUGACAACAGCCCCCUCCCCACCAUGGAAGAAGAUAGAAGGUCCAUUCUCUCAAGAUGACAGAAGAGAGGAUCUCUUGGGUGCAUCAGAGCCAGCAGAACAUCGGAAAUACAGCUUAUGCAGAUCCCUCCAAGUGCUCACCUUUCUUCCGGAA